GCGUGCCAGGAGUGGAUGGAAUUGAUGGGGAUCGAGGAGAAGACUCCACAGUGGUUGGAGGACUGGGACCUGAUGGAGACAACGGUAAAGAUGGGACUCCUGGAGCGCCAGGCCUUCCAGGCGCAGAUGGACCUGUGGGACCUCCUGGGGAUUCAGGCCCAGUGGGUCGAAAGGGAUCAAAGGGGGAACCUGGCGCUGC